rnacentral:rRNA from 1 species
AUUCCAGCUCCAGUAGCGUAUAUUAAAGUUGUUGCAGUUAAAAAGCUCGUAGUUGGAUUUCUGACUUCAAACACCUGACCCUCCCUCGCUAGAGGUGUGUGUGCCGGAGUGUUUGUAUCAUCCUUUCAGUGAUCGGUUCUACCCUUAACCGGGUCGGAACUGUUAACUGGAUCUUUUACUUUGAAGAAAUUGGAGUGUUUAAAGCAGGCUUACGCCAGAACAUAUUAGCAUGGAAUAAUAAUUUAGGACUUUUGUUCUAUUUCGUUGGUUUCUAGGACGAAAGUAAUGAUUGAUAGGGAUAGUUGGGGGUGCUAGUAUUCGGCGGCCAGAGGUGAAAUUCUUUGAUCCGCUGAAGACUAACUUAUGCGAAAGCAUUCACCAAGGAUGUCUUCAUUA